UUUUGCAGCAUUUGAGUGAACCAGGUCAUUGUUUCCUGAUCUGAAGCACCAAGUGUAUGCCAAUGAAAUAAAUAUAUGAAGUGAAAUUUUCUUCAGUUGUGAUGUUAUUUCCCCCACUGUUUACCUGGAAAACAGAAAAUGCAGUACAUUGGUUUGAUCUGUAUGGUUUGAUCAGUAUGGUUUCAAAUAGAAUGAGAGACUUUGAUGAGAUUCCUACAUUGCAGGGGGUUGACUUGAUGACCCUUGGAACCCUUCAAAAUCUACACUUUAUGAUUAUCUGAACAAAAACUUUUACUUACAUUCCUGGCAGGAUGCCUCAAAGUAAAGUUGAAGGACUAGAUGACCCUUGGAGCCCCUUCCAACUCUACACUUUAUGAUUCACUGAACAAAAACUUUUGCUUACAUACCUGGUAAGUCUAAAUUGCCUUUAAUUCAGUCACCUCUCUCUGGGAGCAGCAGAAGUCUUGUCUGGUACAAUAUUUUGUUGGCUAAUCUCCAACCCUAUGUAGACAUGACCCUUUAUGUGGCAGUUUAAAGUGACUGUGAUGGGUGUGCCAUCUGUAUGAAGAAAUGAAUUAUUGUGAAAAAGAGGGAAGGCUUAGAGUGCCUGGUACUUGGAAGUUGUGGCCAUUUGUAAUUAAGGAUAACUUAAGGGAUCACACCUACAAUAGCACUCAUAUUGCACAAUAACAUACUGGGUCACAGAAAACCAGUUAUUGACUAAGGAGUAAAGGUAGGAAUUGUAACAAGAUAUGCAUGUAAUAGGAUCAUCCUGCAAUACGUAAACCUUAAUAACAUGUCAUGUUUACAAUAUUGAAUCCUAGCACUGUAAAAGCUCUUCGAUUGGACCUGCCAUUUAAUUCUACAGCAGCAUGCGUAUGUGGAUUUCAUUAACACCUACUCGGUUUGAAUACUGAAUCUCAAGUAAUCAUCCUCAGUAAUCAAUCCUACUCUAAUAAACUUGAGCAGCUACUUGUGCUCUA